UCUGCAAAUCAUGCGAGUUGGUGCAAGGUUAGUUAAAAUCCAAAGACAUAUCAUUCACCUCUAUGAUGUUCUUGAUCUUAGCUAUAUUGUCCUCCAAAAGUUUGUUUCCUUCACUAAGCGACUUAGUAUUUUUUUUGUAAGUAUUGAAUUUGGUCAAUAUUUUGACAAGAUGACCUCCGUUAGUUAUUUCAUCGAUUUCGUUGAGUCUGAAAAGUCAUAUUAAAUUGGGUCGCAUAGUUUGUUUGCGUCGAUGAAAUUCUGAACGAUUUUUGAGCCACCAUCGUGGGAUUUCUCACUUUUAGUGAACUACUGAUGUAGUGUUGCUGGUGCAACACUGUUCCCUUCUUCGCGUUCGCAAAGAGUAAACUUCGUGGUCUCCGCGUUCACGAGUCUCUUACUGCAUUCAAAGGGUUAGCUCCCUAGGCCUUUACGUUCGUGUUCUUCUCGUCGCGUUUGCAAAUGGUUAAUUCCUUGACAGUAAUAAGAAUUUAUACUCGUUUUAGGAAUGCAUUUGUUCAUUUUAAGACUUAGUAUUUUGGCGAUUUGGAGAGAAAUUAUUGACAGAUUUGCGUGAUUCUUGUUGAGUUGUGUUGGGGAAUCGCAUGGACACGUUCCGAGGUGGUUGAAUCUUUAACUAACCUUGGUAAUUUCCAUAAAUUUCUCUUUGAUUCAGCUUUUUGAUCCUUGUUGAGUUAAUUUUUGGAGGGACUGUUUUGGCUCAAUGGUGGCUCGGAUUGUACCCAUUUUCGGGGCACAACUUUCUUGAGCAGUUUGGGACCUCCUAACGAAGUCAAUUUUAUGACUCUGUGUGGGGGUUCCACAGUUGCGUUUUUGGGUUUGUAUUUGCAAGUUCAAAUUAUCAAUAUUAAUAUGGAUAUUGUUGUGCUUGUUUUUGCGUUCCCAUCGAGUUGUUGAUAGCUUGAAAACAUUUCGAGGCUCUUCGAAAGGGAAAAACACCAGAGUAGUCAUUCGUGUGCGAUUUCGGUCUAGAGGUAGGUUAUGAUUUCUCUUUUUUAGACUUUUCUUAGCUUGAUUAUGUAUGUUUUGAAUAGUUGAUAGUUAUAAAUGCUUUAGGAUUAGUUAGUAGGUGUAUUUUACCUUUAGUGAGAUUUAUUUGUCAUUUCAGAUUAUUUAGUUUAGUAUUUUAGUCGAUAAGUCUUAGUUUAGGUUGUGUCUUGGAUUGAUUGUGGUUUAGAUCCUUAGAAUGCUCUUAGGUAGUCUGGAAAUUAGUUGGUAUGCCCAUUGAUUGCUUGUUUAUUUUUUUUGUGUGUGUGUGUCUUUUUUGAGUUAUGUUUCGAGUUUAUCGCUUUAUUGAUUGAACUGUUGGGACUGAGUCCUUGGGCUUGGACUAGCUAGAGUUCCAAAUUAGUACGACUAUCUUAUGACGAGUGUCUACCCGGUUGUGUGUUGUAUGAAUUGAUCUGUGAGAAUGUUUGGGUUGUGGUGGCAUGAAAUCAUGUUCAUGGCAUAUUGAUAACAUAAUUGCAUUUGAUUUUAGAAAGAAAAGAGGUUCUUGAAUACUUACUAUAUUUUCUACUGAAUUUAGAUUCGAGGGAGCAGGAUUAUUGAUUUUCAUUGAUUUUACUGAUAGAGAGAAAAUGUAUCAUUUUUGUCUUAUUAGACAUAUGUUCAUAAGCUCCAACAGCCUGCAGAUUGAAUUUCGUAUUUUUGUUACUAUUAUUACAUUUGUAGUUGAGUUGAGGCGGGUUCUGUAGUUAUCUUGGGGGUCCACAGAAUAGCCGAUGAGAUAAUUUCGAUACCUUUUUACUUUAAACAUGCAUUGGCACAUGUGCAUAUCAUUUCAUUGUUUGAUUGAUUGUCGUGUGGUAAAGUUGUUGUUGCCUUCCGUGCCGAUAGUUUUGGUUACUUUUAGCCUUAUUACCAGACUCCUGUUAGAACUAUCAUGUUGCUUAUUAUAUAUAUAUUAUCUUUCUGAGCUCGACCAGUCUGUCAUGUCUACUGAGUAUCCCGUAUUUUGAUACUCAUAUUACACUUUUGCUUCUUUUUCUGAUGCAGAUCUUAGUACGAGCCACCCCAAGUGAGCAUUAGAUCUCCCUUGGCUGUCACAGAUAUGGAUCGUGCUGAGCUCUUAGCGUUCAGAGACUUUUUGCUUUCCCUCUUUUGCACUGACUUGUAUUAUGUAUCUUGAUUGGUCAGUUCUUUUGUAUAUAUAGCUUUUCUGUACUUAGUAGCUUCUGUAUCAGUGACAUUAGGUCUCGUAUUAGUUUUCCUUCUUGGUCACUUUUGGGCUUCUUUUGUAUAUUUUGUAUCAUACUUACAGAUCUAUACUAUGGCAUGUUUCCAUAUAUAAUCCAUGUUUCCGUUUAUUCUUA
rnacentral:lncRNA from 1 species